UACAGAGGAUGCAAGCGUUAUCCGGAAUGAUUGGGCGUAAAGCGUCUGUAGGUGGCUUUUUAAGUCCGCCGUCAAAUCCCAGGGCUCAACUCUGGACAGGCGGUGGAAACUACCAAGCUGGAGUACGGUAGGGGCAGAGGGAAUUUCCGGUGGAGCGGUGAAAUGCGUAGAGAUCGGCAGGAACACCCAGGGGGAAACCAGCCGACUGGGCAAGCGCUGACGCUGAGAGACGAAAGCUAGGGGAGCGAAUGGG
rnacentral:rRNA from 1 species